rnacentral:rRNA from 1 species
UACGUAGGGUGCAAGCGUUGUCCGGAAUUAUUGGGCGUAAAGAGCUUGUAGGCGGUUUGUCGCGUCUGCUGUGAAAUCCGGGGCUCAACCCCGGACUUGCAGUGGGUACGGGCAGACUAGAGUGUGGUAGGGGAGACUGGAAUUCCUGGUGUAGCGGUGAAAUGCGCAGAUAUCAGGAGGAACACCGAUGGCGAAGGCAGGUCUCUGGGCCACUACUGACGCUGAGAAGCGAAAGCAUGGGGAGCGAACAGG